AGCGGUGAAAUGCAUAGAUAUUGCACAGAACUCCGAUUGCGAAGGCAGCUUACUAAGCCAUAACUGACGCUGAGGCACGAAAGCGUGGGGAGCGAACAGGAUUAGAUACCCUGGUAGUCCACGCUGUAAACGAUGUUCACUCGCUGUUUGCGAUACACAGUAAGCGGCUGAGCGAAAGCAUUAAGUGAACCACCUGGGGAGUACGAUCGCAAGGUUGAAACUCAAAGGAAUUGACGGGGGCCCGCACAAGCGGAGGAACAUGUGGUUUAAUUCGAUGAUACGCGAGGAACCUUACCUGGGCUUAAAUGUAGGCUGCAUAGGGUGGAAACAUUCUUUCCCUUCGGGGCUGCUUACAAGGUGCUGCAUGGUUGUCGUCAGCUCGUGCCGUGAGGUGUCGGGUUAAGUCCCAUAACGAGCGCAACCCUUACCGUUAGUUGCCAUCGGGUCAAGCCGGGGACUCUAGCGGGACUGCCACCGUAAGGUGAGAGGAAGGUGGGGAUGACGUCAAAUCAGCACGGCCCUUAUGUCCAGGGCUACACACGUGUUACAAUGGCCGGUACAAAGGGCAGCUACCUGGUAACAGGAUGCCAAUCCUAAAAGCCGGUCCCAGUUCGGAUUGGAGUCUGCAACCCGACUCCAUGAAGUUGGAUUCGCUAGUAAUCGCGCAUCAGCCAUGGCGCGGUGAAUACGUUCCCGGGCCUUGUACACACCGCCCGUCAAACCAUGGGAGCUGGGGGUGCCUGAAGUCUGUGACCGCAAGGAGCGGCCUAGGGUAAAACCAGUGACUGGGGUUAAGUCGU
rnacentral:rRNA from 1 species